rnacentral:rRNA from 1 species
CCUACGGGUGGCAGCAGUGAGGAAUUUUGGUCCAUGGCCGGAAGGCUGAACCAGCCAAGCCGCGUGAAGGACGAAGGUGCCAAGCAUUUUAAACUUCUUUUGUCAAGGGACAAAAUCAGGCUCGAGAGCCUGACCGGGGGUCCUUGAAGAAAAAGCAUCUGCUAACUCAGUUCCCGCCGCCGCGGUAAUACGGGGGAUGCGAGCGUUAUCCGGAUUUAUUGGGUUUAAGGGGUGCGUAGGCGGGCUGUUAGUUAAGCGGGAAAAGCCCGGGGCUCAACCCCGGCGAGCCGUGGAGACUGGCUGUCUUGAGAUGUCGAGAGGUAUGCGGAAUGCGCAGUGUAGCGGGGAAAUGCGUAGAUAUUGCGCAGAACUCCGAUUGCGAAGGCAGCAUACCGGCGGCGAUCUGACGCUGAGGCACGAAAGCGUGGGUAUCGAACAGGAUUAGAUACCCCUGUAGUC